GAGUAACAUUAACCUACAAAGUACGACUUCUACACAAGAGAAAGAACAAGAAGAUAUUCAAGCUAAAUAUCAUCGAACUAUAUUGGACAACAUGGUCUUGACAAAAUUAAAAUAAUUUUUGCACUCAUCGCUUUUGUUGCGUUAAUCUCACAAGUUUGUUCAAUACAAAAAGGAACUGCUACUGACUGGGGAAAACGAAAAAGAGCAUUAAAUCACUUUCAAAAGCAAAGGUGGCCGUCAAUGAAUGACCUUCGCAGAAAAUAUGACAAUUAUGACAGCAAAAUGAAGAAUUCUUUCGAGUUUUACAAAGAGGACUUUGAAUAAUGUGUGUUAUUAAUUCACACAUGUUAUAUGUAUGCAUAGAUAUGUAUAUAUAUUUAUAUGUGUAUGAUUGUAUGUGAUUAUAUGUUGAAAAUAAUAUAUCUAAGCACAAACAUGUUAAACUAUCUAUUAUAAAAGUUAAAUUAAAGUGAAAAUAAGAAUUUAAAAUCAAA